UGAACGCUGGCGGCGUGCCUAACACAUGCAAGUCGAACGGUAAGGCCCCUUCGGGGGUACACGAGUGGCGAACGGGUGAGUAACGCGUGGGUAACCUACCCAGAGGUGGGGGAUAGCUCCGGGAAACCGGAGGUAAUACCGCAUACGUUCCAGACAACGCGAGUUGACUGGAGGAAAGGCGGGGAUCUUCGGACCCGUCGCUUCUGGAUGGGCCCGCGUCCGAUUAGCUUGUUGGUGAGGUAAUGGCUCACCAAGGCUGCGAUCGGUAGCCGGCCUGAGAGGGUGAUCGGCCACAUUGGGACUGAGACACGGCCCAGACUCCUACGGGAGGCAGCAGUGGGGAAUUUUGGGCAAUGGGGGAAACCCUGACCCAGCGACGCCGCGUGGGGGAUGACGGUCUUCGGAUUGUAAACCCCUGUCAGGUGGGAAGAAGAGCUUGUCGGUUAAUACCCGGCAGGAAUUGACGGUACCACCAAAGGAAGCCCCGGCUAACUCC
rnacentral:rRNA from 1 species